AGAGUUUGAUUAUGGCUCAGGAUGAACGCUGGCGGCGUGGAUAAGGCAUGCAAGUCGAACGGACCUUGCUAUAUGAAGAACCAAAACGAGUAGCAAUACAAAGUGAGGUUUUGAUUAUAGCGCUGGUUAGUGGCAGACGAGGUAGUAAUACAUAGGUAUGUACUCUUAAGUCACGAAUAACGUACCGAAAGGUCCGCUAAUACGUGAUGGUCCCUCCGGGGUAAAGAUUUAUCGCUUAAGAAACAGCCUAUGAAGUAUCAGCUAGAUGGUGAGGUAAUGGCUCACCAUGGCUAUGACGCUUAGGGGAGCUGAGAGGCUGACCCCCACCGAUGGGACUGAGACACGGCCCAUACACCUACGGGUGGCUGCAGUCAAGAACCUUCCACAAUGGACGAAAGUCUGAUGGAGCGACGCCGCGUGAUUGAUGAAGCGAUUCGUCGUGUAAAGAUCUUUUAUGAGGGAUGAAGUUUAUUGACAGUACCUCAUGAAUAAGGGGCUCCUAACUCUGUGCCAGCCGCCGCGGUAA
rnacentral:rRNA from 1 species